UCCGCGCGUCCGCAAAGUAAGAUCGAUCAUGUUUAUUUUCUAUCAAAUAUCGAUUUUUAUCAGUGAAAAUCCAUCUCUUCCUGCUUCGUUAGACUGUUCAGAUAAAUAUCCCGCCCUAUUUUUCUGUUUUGUCCAAUCAGAAAAGGUUUGACAACUCAAACUCUCAUGCGAUCAAUGAUUUGCCUAGAUAGAUGUCUUUCAGCUUGCCAUAGGCUUUUGACUGGAUUACACCAAAACAAAGCCAGCCAAUGCAUAGUGAGCAAAGCUUUGAUUGACAGAGGAAGUAACCAAUCAUGAAACGAUUACAAGGAUUCAACUUACGUCAGAAAAGUGUACUUCUGCGCAAAUCUACAGAAGCGCAUGGAGAGAAAUGCCCACGCCCCCUCCGUGCGCGUUUGUUUGUUUGGGUAGCAUAGCAGCCGGCUAAGCUCUCCGGAGCCGCUGAGAAACCUCUUCAAAUGUUAGAUAUAACAUCUCCAUUGUGGAUCGUGGACUGCAGAUGACUUUUUUGUGUUGAAAGUGUUUUGGAGAAGUUGAUAAAGAGCAUGAUCGCGGAUCAACAAUGCAAGACUGGAUGUAAACAAAGCGCGUCGUCGAGGAGAGAUGGACCGGAUUAUGAGCUCAGCUGCGCUCGCUUGGAUAAAGACUUCAGCUGACACAGGAGGACUGGAAUCUGGAGUGCAUUCAUGAGCGACCAUAUUCAAAAUAGCAAGUAUUUUGUUAUAAUGUGCAAAUGUUUUUUUCUGAAAUAGUUUUUUCUAUGUGCUUUGGUGGGCAGAGAAGUUCUGAAUUGAUAUACAUAAUGUAAUAUGUAGUCCUGACUCAUUUUCUUUUUAUAAUCAUGUCAUAUUGUUAUCAUGUGUAUAUUUGGAGUUUCCAAGUGCACUUUUUCUGAAAGGACGCCUGGACUUUUUUGAAAUAAAAGCUCACAGAAACAACA